rnacentral:rRNA from 1 species
CGGUGUUUAACUGGCGUGAUGUGGGACGUCCUACCGGUGGGCUUAGCCUCGCGAGGGGCGGCCCAACUAAUAUCCCGUCGCGGUGCUCUUUACUGAGUGUCGAGUCGGGCCGGUACGUUUACUUUGAACAAAUUAGAGUGCUUAAAGCAGGCUAUCCUCGCCUGAAUACUGCGUGCAUGGAAUAAUGGAAUAGGACCUCGGUUCUAUUUUGUUGGUUUUCGGAACCCCGAGGUAAUGAUUAAUAGGGACAGAUGGGGGCAUUCGUAUUGCGACGUUAGAGGUGAAAUUCUUGGAUCGUCGCAAGACGGACAGAAGCGAAAGCAUUUGCCAAAAAUGUUUUCAUUAAUCAAGAACGAAAGUUAGAGGUUCGAAGGCGAUCAGAUACCGCCCUAGUUCUAACCAUAAACGAUGCCAGCUAGCGAUCCGCCGAAGUUCCUCCGAUGACUCGGCGGGCAGCUUCCGGGAAACCAAAGCUUUUGGGUUCCGGGGGAAGUAUGGUUGCAAAGCUGAAACUUAAAGGAAUUGACGGAAGGGCACCACCAGGAGUGGAGCCUGCGGCUUAAUUUGACUCAACACGGGAAACCUCACCAGGCCCAGACACCGGAAGGAUUGACAGAUUGAUAGCUCUUUCUUGAUUCGGUGGGUGGUGGUGCAUGGCCGUUUUUAGUUGGUGGAGCGAUUUGUCUGGUUAAUUCCGAUAACGAACGAGACUCUAGCCUGCUAAAUAGGCGUACCUUAUGGUAUCGCGAAGGCCCCCGGCUUCGGCCGGUGGGUUUUUACUACCAACGUACAAACAAAUCUUCUUAGAGGGACAGGCGG